AGCUAAGAAGACAGUAGAAGAAUCAGAAGAAAAGAAAGCAGCUCAGUCAAAGAAAAAGAUUAAAGAAUUAAGAAUUUUGGAUGGAAAAAGUGCACAAAACUUAUCGAUAUUUUUGGGUUCUUUCCGUUUGCCUUAUGAAGAAAUAAAAAAUAUAAUUUUGGAGGUUGAUGAAGAGAAGCUGAGUGAAUCCUUGAUUCAGAACCUAGUGAAGAAUCUUCCUGAGCAGAAAGAACUCAAUGCCUUAGCUGAAUUAAAGGAUGAAUAUAAUGAUCUUGCAGAACCAGAACAAUUUGGAGUUGUG